GACGAACGCUGGCGGCGCGCCUAACACAUGCAAGUCGAACGAGAGAUGAGGAGCUUGCUCUUCAGAUCGAGUGGCGAACGGGUGAGUAACGCGUGAGGAACCUGCCUCAAAGAGGGGGACAACAGUUGGAAACGACUGCUAAUACCGCAUAAGCCCACGGCUCGGCAUCGAGCAGAGGGAAAAGGAGCAAUCCGCUUUGAGAUGGCCUCGCGUCCGAUUAGCUAGUUGGUGAGGUAACGGCCCACCAAGGCGACGAUCGGUAGCCGGACUGAGAGGUUGAACGGCCACAUUGGGACUGAGACACGGCCCAGACUCCUACGGGAGGCAGCAGUGGGGAAUAUUGCACAGUGGGGGAAACCCUGAUGCAGCGACGCCGCGUGGAGGAAGAAGGUCUUCGGAUUGUAAACUCCUGUUGUUGAGGAAGAUAAUGACGGUACUCAACAAGGAAGUGACGGCUAACUACGUGCCAGCAGCCGCGGUAAAACGUAGGUCACAAGCGUUGUCCGGAAUUACUGGGUGUAAAGGGAGCGCAGGCGGGAGAACAAGUUGGAAGUGAAAUCCAUGGGCUCAACCCAUGAACUGCUUUCAAAACUGUUUUUCUUGAGUAGUGCAGAGGUAGGCGGAAUUCCCGGUGUAGCGGUGGAAUGCGUAGAUAUCGGGAGGAACACCAGUGGCGAAGGCGGCCUACUGGGCACCAACUGACGCUGAGGCUCGAAAGUGUGGGUAGCAAACAGAAUUAGAUACCCUGGUAGUCCACACCGUAAACGAUG
rnacentral:rRNA from 1 species